rnacentral:rRNA from 1 species
GACGAACGCUGGCGGCGUGCUUAACACAUGCAAGUCGAACGGAAAGGCCCUGCUUUUGUGGGGUGCUCGAGUGGCGAACGGGUGAGUAACACGUGAGUAACCUGCCUUGACUUUGGGGUAACUUCAGGGAACUGGGGCUAAUACCGGGUAGGAGGUUCUGCUGGAUGGUGGGGGUUGGAAAGUUUCGGCGGGUGGGGAUGGACUCGCGGGUUAUCGGUUUGUUGGUGGGGGAGGGGUUUACCAAGGGUUUGGCGGGUAGCCGGCCUGAGGGGGUGCCCGGCCACAUGGGGACUGAGAGACGCCCCAGACCCCGAGGGGAGGCAGCAGUGGGAAAUAUGGAACAGGGGGCGGAAGCCGGAUGCAGCAACCCCGCGUGCGGGAGGACGCCCUGCGGGUUGAAACCCGCUUUCGCCUGUGACGAAGGGUGAGUGAGUGUAAUGGGUAAAGAAGCCCCGGCUAACUACGU